AUCACGUAGGCAUUACCAAUCACGAGGAGUCACGUAGACGUAAUUUUAUACUCUAUAGAGAGGUACAAGCGGCGAAGUUCGACGACCAUUAAACGACCUAUUGUUACUAAUUUCAACCAUUAAUUGCGUGUGAAUACAAUGCAGCGAUAUGAUAUUGAAAUAAUUUAUUGUAGCGAUGAAAGUUACUCCAAUUUUCUCGACUUUCCGAGUCGAGAGAGGACGUCGGCAGUAUUUUCAAAUUCGAAAAAUCGAUAGGUUGAUAAGUCACGAAGAUAACGCUCUAUCGACCAAACGUGCGCGUGUACGUCCGAGGCUGAUUUUAGAAAGGAAAUGACUGGGUUGCAAGCAUUUGAGGACGGUAUCCAGAUACGAAAAGGAUGUCUUUGAUAUCCAAGCACACUUCACAUCACUGUCGUCC